GGGCACAUGGUGUAGUUGGUUAUCACACCCGCUUAGCAUGGAACAGUCUAACCUCCUCCUCUGCGGGAGGUGUUGAGUUCGAUCCUCAAUGUGUCCA